rnacentral:lncRNA from 1 species
AUGGCUCUCUCUCGCUCCCUGUCUCUCUCUCUCGCUCCCUGUCUCUCUCUCUCGCUCCCUGUCUCUCUCGCUCUCUCUCUCGCUCCCUGUCUCUCUCUCUCGCUCCCUGUCUCUCUCUCUCGCUCCCUGUCUCUCUCUCUCGCUCCCUGUCUCUCUCUCUCGCUUCCUGUCUCUCUCUCUCGCUCCCUGUCUCUCUCUCUCGCUCCCUGUCUCUCUCUCUCUCUCCCUGUCUCUCGCUCCCUGUCUCUCUCUCUCGCUCCCGCUCUCUCUCUCGCUCCCUGUCUCUCGCUCCCGCUCUCUCUCUCUCGCUUCCUGUCUCUCUCUCUAGCUCCCUCUCUCUCUCUCCCGCUCUCUCACUCCCGCUCUCUCUCGCUCCCUGUCUCUCGCUCCCUGUCUCUCUUACUCCCACUCUCUCUCUCGCUCCCUGUCUCUCUCUCACUCCCUGUCUCUCUCUCUCUCUCUCUCUCUCUCUCUCACUCCCGCUCUCUCUCGCUCCCUGUCUCUCGCUCCCUCUCUCUCACUCCCGCUCUCUCUCGCUCCCUGUCUCUCGCUCCCUGUCUCUCUCUCUCUUGCUCCCACUCUCUCUCUCUCGCUCCCUGUCUCUCUCUCGCUCCCUGUCUCUCUCUCUCUCACUCCCGCUCUCUCUCGCUCCCUGUCUCUCGCUCCCUGUCUCUCUCUCUCUCCCUCUCCCUCGCUCCCUGUCUCUCUCUCUCGCUCCCUGUCUCUCGCUCCCUGUCUCUCUCUCUCGCUCCCACUCUCGUUCCCGCUCUCUCGCUCCAGCUCUCUCGCUCCCUGUCUCUCUCUCUCUCUCUCGCUCCCGCUCUCUCGCUCCCUGUCUCUCUCUCUCUCGCUCCCGCUCUCUCGCUCCCUGUCUCUCGCUCCCUGUCUCUCUCUCUCGCUCCCUGUCUCUCUCUCUCUCGCUCCCACUCUCGUUCCCGCUCUCUCGCUCCCUGUCUCUCUCUCUCUCGCUCCUGCUCUCUCUCUCUCUCUCGCCCCCUGUCUGUCUCUCUCUCGCUCCCUGUCUCUCGCUCCCGCUCUCUCGCUCCUGCUCUCUCUCUCGCUCCCGCUCUCUCUCUCGCUCCCACUCUCGUUCCCGCUCUCUUGCUCCAGCUCUCUCUCUCUCGCUCCCACUCUCGUUCCCGCUCUCUCGCUCCAGCUCUCUCGCUCCCUGUCUCUCGCUCUCUCUCGUUCCCGCUCUCUCGCUCCUGCUCUCUCUCUCUCACCCCCUGUCUGCCUCUCUCUCUCGCUCCAGCUCUCUCGCUCCCUGUCUCUCUCUCUCUCUCUCUCUCGCUCCCGCUCUCUCGCUCCUGCUCUCUCUCUCUCGCCGCUGUCUGUCUCUCUCGCUCCCGCUCUCUCUCUCGCUCGCUCCCUCUCGCUCGCUCCCUCUCGCGUGGUCAAAAGACGUGCACACAGGCACGAACGCAC